rnacentral:rRNA from 1 species
UAACGAAUCUUCCGCAAUGCACGAAAGUGUGACGGAGCGACGCCGCGUGGAGGACGAAGUUCUUCGGAAUGUAAACUCCUGUCAGGGGAAAGAAAGUUCUGAUCUACCCCAGAGGAAGAGGCGGCUAACUCUGUGCCAGCAGCCGCGGUAAUACAGAGGCCUCGAGCGUUAGACGGAAUCACUGGGCUUAAAGCGUGUGUAGGCGGAAGGGUAAGUACCUUGUGAAAUCCCACGGCUUAACCGUGGAACGGCUUGGUAUACUGCUUUUCUUGAGCAAUCUAGGGGCGAGUGGAACAGAUGGUGGAGCGGUGAAAUGCGUAGAUAUCAUCUGGAACGCCAAAUGGUGAAGACAACUCGCUGGGGAUUUGCUGACGCUGAGACACGAAAGCCAGGGGAGCGAACGGGAUUAGAUACCCAAGUAGUCCCUGAGCGGGCUGGCAAGGCGCAU